rnacentral:misc_RNA from 1 species
GAUGAAGAACGUAGCGAAAUGCGAUAAGUAGUGUGAAAUGCAGAAUUCAGUGAAUCAUCGAAUCUUUGAACGCACAUUGCGCCCCUUGGUAUCCCGAGGGGCAUGCCUGUUCGAGCGUCAUUUCACCACUCAAGCCUGGCUUGGUGUUGGGCGACGUCCUCUUUGGGGACGCGCCUCGAAACGCUCGGCGGCGUGGCACCGGCUUUAAGCGUAGCAGAAUCUUUCGCUUUGGAAGUCGGGGCCCCGUCUGCCGGAAGACCUGCUCGCAAGGUUGACCUCGGAUCAGGCAGGGAUACCCGCUGAACUUAAGCAUAUCAAUAAGCGGAGGA